UACGUAGGGGGCUAGCGUUGUCCGGAAUCAUUGGGCGUAAAGCGCGCGUAGGCGGCCCGGUAAGUCCGCUGUGAAAGUCCAGGGCUCAACCCUGGAAAGCCGGUGGAUACUGCCGGGCUAGAGUCCGGAAGAGGCGAGUGGAAUUCCCGGUGUAGCGGUGAAAUGCGCAGAUAUCGGGAGGAACACCUAUGGCGAAGGCAGCUCGCUGGGACGUUACUGACGCUGAGACGCGAAAGCGUGGGGAGCAAACAGG
rnacentral:rRNA from 1 species